UACGUAGGGUGCAAGCGUUAUCCGGAAUUAUUGGGCGUAAAGGGCUCGUAGGCGGUUUGUCGCGUCGGGAGUGAAAACCAUGGGCUUAACUCAUGGCUUGCUUUCGAUACGGGCAGACUAGAGGUAUGCAGGGGAGAACGGAAUUCCUGGUGUAGCGGUGAAAUGCGCAGAUAUCAGGAGGAACACCGGUGGCGAAGGCGGUUCUCUGGGCAUGACCUGACGCUGAGGAGCGAAAGUGUGGGGAGCGAACAGG
rnacentral:rRNA from 1 species